CCUACGGGGGGCAGCAGUGAGGAAUAUUGGUCAAUGGUCGGGAGACUGAACCAGCCAAGCCGCGUGAGGGAUGAAGGUACAGAGUAUCGUAAACCUCUUUUGUCAGGGAACAAAGGCGGGGACGUGUCCCCGGAUGAGUGUACCUGAAGAAAAAGCAUCGGCUAACUCCGUGCCAGCAGCCGCGGUAAUACGGAGGAUGCGAGCGUUAUCCGGAUUUAUGGGGUUUAAAGGGUGCGCAGGCGGUCUGUUAAGUCAGAGGUCAAAGCCCGGGGCUCAACCCCGGCCCGCCGUUGAAACUGGCAGUCUCGAGUGGGAGAGAAGUAUGCGGAAUGCGCGGUGUAGCGGUGAAAUGCAUAGAUAUCGCGCAGAACUCCGAUUGCGAAGGCAGCAUGCCGGCUCCACACUGACGCUGAGGCAGGAAAGCGUGGGUAUCGAACAGGAUUAGAUACCCCUGUAGUC
rnacentral:rRNA from 1 species